rnacentral:rRNA from 1 species
UACGUAGGGCGCAAGCGUUGUCCGGAAUUAUUGGGCGUAAAGAGCUCGUAGGCGGUCUGUCGCGUCGGAUGUGAAAGCCCGGGGCUUAACUCCGGGUCUGCAUUCGAUACGGGCAGACUAGAGUGUGGUAGGGGAGAUCGGAAUUCCUGGUGUAGCGGUGAAAUGCGCAGAUAUCAGGAGGAACACCGGUGGCGAAGGCGGGUCUCUGGGCAGUAACUGACGCUGAGGAGCGAAAGCGUGGGGAGCGAACAGG